CCUACGGGAGACAGCAGUGGGGAAUAUUGGACAAUGGGGGCAACCCUGAUCCAGCCAUGCCGCGUGUGUGAAGAAGGCCCUCGGGUUGUAAAGCACUUUCAGUGAGGAAGAACGCCUGGUGGUUAAUACCCAUCAGGAAAGACAUCACUCACAGAAGAAGCACCGGCUAACUCCGUGCCAGCAGCCGCGGUAAUACGGAGGGUGCGAGCGUUAAUCGGAAUUACUGGGCGUAAAGCGCGCGUAGGUGGCUUGAUAAGCCGGUUGUGAAAGCCCCGGGCUCAACCUGGGAACGGCAUCCGGAACUGUCAAGCUAGAGUGCAGGAGAGGAAGGUAGAAUUCCCGGUGUAGCGGUGAAAUGCGUAGAGAUCGGGAGGAAUACCAGUGGCGAAGGCGGCCUUCUGGACUGACACUGACACUGAGGUGCGAAAGCGUGGGUAGCAAACAGGAUUAGAUACCCGUGUAGUC
rnacentral:rRNA from 1 species